UGCUUAAAUUGGCUUCUGCCUCCAAAG
rnacentral:piRNA from 1 species